rnacentral:piRNA from 1 species
UAGUCUUUGUAUCCUUUCUAUGGUAAACUA